rnacentral:rRNA from 1 species
AUUGAACGCUGGCGGCAGGCCUAACACAUGCAAGUCGAACGAGUGGCGGACGGGUGAGUAAUGUCUGGGAAACUGCCCGAUGGAGGGGGAUAACUACUGGAAACGGUAGCUAAUACCGCAUACCAUCGGAUGUGCCCAGAUGGGAUUAGCUAGUAGGUGGGGUAACGGAUCACCUAGGCGACGAUCCCUAGCUGGUCUGAGAGGAUGACCAGCCACACGGGAACGGGGACACGGACCAGACUCCGACGGUAGGCAGCAGUGGGGAAUAGUGCACAAGGUGCGCAAGCCUGAUGCAGCCAAGCCGCAUGUAUGAAGAAGGCCUUCGGGUUGUGAAGGACUUUCAGCGAGGAGGCGUUACUCGCAGAAGAAGCACCGGCUAACUCCGUGCCAGCAGCCGCGGUAAUAC